GCCACCGUAGCUCAACCCGGCAGAGCAGGGCAUUCGUAAUGCUCAGGCUAGGGGUUCAACUCCCCUCGGUGGCUUCA
rnacentral:tRNA from 1 species